rnacentral:rRNA from 1 species
UUAUAACCGGCGAUUUCCGAAUGGGGAAACCCAGUGUGAUUCGUCACACUAUCAUUAACUGAAUCCAUAGGUUAAUGAGGCGAACCGGGGGAACUGAAACAUCUAAGUACCCCGAGGAAAAGAAAUCAACCGAGAUUCCCCCAGUAGCGGCGAGCGAACGGGGAGGAGCCCAGAGCCUGAAUCAGUGUGUGUGUUAGUGGAAGCGUCUGGAAAGGCGCGCGAUACAGGGUGACAGCCCCGUACACAAAAAUGCACAUGCUGUGAGCUCGAUGAGUAGGGCGGGACACGUGGUAUCCUGUCUGAAUAUGGGGGGACCAUCCUCCAAGGCUAAAUACUCCUGACUGACCGAUAGUGAACCAGUACCGUGAGGGAAAGGCGAAAAGAACCCCGGCGAGGGGAGUGAAAAAGAACCUGAAACCGUGUACGUACAAGCAGUGGGAGCACGCUUAGGCGUGUGACUGCGUACCUUUUGUAUAAUGGGUCAGCGACUUAUAUUCUGUAGCAAGGUUAACCGAAUAGGGGAGCCGAAGGGAAACCGAGUCUUAACUGGGCGUUAAGUUGCAGGGUAUAGACCCGAAACCCGGUGAUCUAGCCAUGGGCAGGUUGAAGGUUGGGUAACACUAACUGGAGGACCGAACCGACUAAUGUUGAAAAAUUAGCGGAUGACUUGUGGCUGGGGGUGAAAGGCCAAUCAAACCGGGAGAUAGCUGGUUCUCCCCGAAAGCUAUUUAGGUAGCGCCUCGUGAAUUCAUCUCCGGGGGUAGAGCACUGUUUCGGCAAGGGGGUCAUCCCGACUUACCAACCCGAUGCAAACUGCGAAUACCGGAGAAUGUUAUCACGGGAGACACACGGCGGGUGCUAACGUCCGUCGUGAAGAGGGAAACAACCCAGACCGCCAGCUAAGGUCCCAAAGUCAUGGUUAAGUGGGAAACGAUGUGGGAAGGCCCAGACAGCCAGGAUGUUGGCUUAGAAGCAGCCAUCAUUUAAAGAAAGCGUAAUAGCUCACUGGUCGAGUCGGCCUGCGCGGAAGAUGUAACGGGGCUAAACCAUGCACCGAAGCUGCGGCAGCGACACUAUGUGUUGUUGGGUAGGGGAGCGUUCUGUAAGCCUGUGAAGGUGUGCUGUGAGGCAUGCUGGAGGUAUCAGAAGUGCGAAUGCUGACAUAAGUAACGAUAAAGCGGGUGAAAAGCCCGCUCGCCGGAAGACCAAGGGUUCCUGUCCAACGUUAAUCGGGGCAGGGUGAGUCGACCCCUAAGGCGAGGCCGAAAGGCGUAGUCGAUGGGAAACAGGUUAAUAUUCCUGUACUUGGUGUUACUGCGAAGGGGGGACGGAGAAGGCUAUGUUGGCCGGGCGACGGUUGUCCCGGUUUAAGCGUGUAGGCUGGUUUUCCAGGCAAAUCCGGAAAAUCAAGGCUGAGGCGUGAUGACGAGGCACUACGGUGCUGAAGCAACAAAUGCCCUGCUUCCAGGAAAAGCCUCUAAGCAUCAGGUAACAUCAAAUCGUACCCCAAACCGACACAGGUGGUCAGGUAGAGAAUACCAAGGCGCUUGAGAGAACUCGGGUGAAGGAACUAGGCAAAAUGGUGCCGUAACUUCGGGAGAAGG